rnacentral:pre_miRNA from 1 species
UUUUCUUCGUCUUUGCGCCUAUGUGACUGUAUUAACCAUAGACGCAUGGCGAAGAAACGC